rnacentral:rRNA from 1 species
CUCCGGGAAACCGGGGCUAAUACCGGAUAUGAGCCGUCCUCGCAUGGGGGUGGUUGGAAAGUUUUUCGGUCAGGGAUGGGCUCGCGGCCUAUCAGCUUGUUGGUGGGGUGAUGGCCUACCAAGGCGACAACGGGUAACCGGCCUGAGAGGGCGACCGGCCACACUGGGACUGAGACACGGCCCAGACUCCUACGGGAGGCAGCAGUGGGGAAUAUUGCACAAUGGGCGAAAGCCUGAUGCAGCGACGCCGCGUGAGGGAUGAAGGCCUUCGGGUUGUAAACCUCUUUCAGCAGGGAAGAAGCGCAAGUGACGGUACCUGCAGAAGAAGCGCCGGCUAACUACGUGCCAGCAGCCGCGGUAAUACGUAGGGCGCAAGCGUUGUCCGGAAUUAUUGGGCGUAAAGAGCUCGUAGGCGGUUUGUCGCGUCUGGUGUGAAAACUCGAGGCUCAACCUCGAGCUUGCAUCGGGUACGGGCAGACUAGAGUGCGGUAGGGGAGACUGGAAUUCCUGGUGUAGCGGUGGAAUGCGCAGAUAUCAGGAGGAACACCGAUGGCGAAGGCAGGUCUCUGGGCCGCAACUGACGCUGAGGAGCGAAAGCAUGGGGAGCGAACAGGAUUAGAUACCCUGGUAGUCCAUGCCGUAAACGUUGGGCACUAGGUGUGGGGCUCAUUCCACGAGUUCCGUGCCGCAGCAAACGCAUUAAGUGCCCCGCCUGGGGAGUACGGCCGCAAGGCUAAAACUCAAAGGAAUUGACGGGGGCCCGCACAAGCGGCGGAGCAUGCGGAUUAAUUCGAUGCAACGCGAAGAACCUUACCAAGGCUUGACAUGCACGGGAAGCCACCAGAGAUGGUGGUCUCUUUGGACACUCGUGCACAGGUGGUGCAUGGUUGUCGUCAGCUCGUGUCGUGAGAUGUUGGGUUAAGUCCCGCAACGAGCGCAACCCUCGUCCCAUGUUGCCAGCGGGUUAUGCCGGGGACUCAUGGGAGACUGCCGGGGUCAACUCGGAGGAAGGUGGGGAUGACGUCAAAUCAUCAUGCCCCUUAUGUCUUGGGCUUCACGCAUGCUACAAUGGCCGGUACAAAGGGCUGCGAUACCGUAANGUGGAGCGAAUCCCAAAAAGCCGGUCUCAGUUCGGAUUGGGGUCUGCAACUCGACCCCAUGAAGUCGGAGUCGCUAGUAAUCGCAGAUCAGCAACGCUGCGGUGAAUACGUUCCCGGGCCUUGUACACACCGCCC